ACGCGGGUGGCGCUGUGGGUAAAACCUCAGCGCCUAGGACUUGCCGAUCGCAUGGUCGGCGGUUCGAAUCCCCGCGGCGGGGUGCGCUCCCGCUGCUCAGUCCCAGCGCCUGCCAACCUAGCAGUUCGAAAGCACCCCCGGGUGCAAGUAGAUAAAUAGGGACCGCUUACUAGCGGGAAGGUAAACAGCGUUUCCGUGUGCGGCUCUGGCUCGCCAGAGCAGCUUCGUCACGCUGGCCAUGUGACCCGGAAGUGUCUGCGGACAGCGCUGGCUCCCGGCCUAUAGAGUGAGAUGAGCGCACAACCCCAGAGUCUGUCAAGACUGGCCCGUACGGGCAGGGGUACCUUUACCUUUACCUUUACAAUAGUUUUCACUCAGGUCCACGUCAGUUAUUUUAGGCGGGAAACCCUGGGUUGUUGUUGCUACAAUGUUGAAAGCUGGCUGCCUAUAAAAGCAGGCCGGCUGAGCUGUUUGCUGUUCAGUUUCUGUUCCAGCUUACAAAAUAAAGAGCUGCUUGGAGAAA